CGCGCGUCGUGGGAUUGGAAAGGCUGUUCGUGGAUUCAGGAAGUCCAGUCAAACCAUCUGGUACCAGUCUGUUCCGGGUCCGGACCUGAACCAUGGACUGGACUCUCCGAUGCUGUGAGUUGGACUUUGGUUUGGGUCAGUUUGUGUGAGUUUAAGACAGUUUGGCAUUAGAGGAACAACCAGUCUGAGACGCACCGGAGUGGAGUGGACGGGUUUCCUGUUUUUAUUAGACACUUUAUAGGACACUUUAUAGGACAGUUGAGAGGACAGUUUAUAGGACAUAGACACACAGUCCGGUCCGGUGGAGGACUCCGGGUUCUUUUAGACUGAAGGACAUGAAACACGUUCGAUGGUUCUGAUUCGAGAUCAAGAAGAAAACUGGAACUGACUCCUUUGAACUCAUCAUGUUAGUUAUGAUCAACUUUAAUUUCACACAGUAAAUAAUAAAACUCUAAAGUGUCACGUGACUGUGUUUUAUCACUUAAGUGUUUAAACACAAACUUAAAGUUCAGUAAAUGUCGUUUUGGGAAAAAAAAAAAAAAAAAAAAAAAAAACAACAACAACAACACACAUGAUGAAUAUUUAAUGACAUAUGAUUAUCAAUAAGAUGAAGAUGGACCAGGUCCUGGACCAGAUCAAUCAGGUCCUGGACUCAUCUUCUGGUUCUGAACAGGUUGUUUAACGUCAGAUGUUCCAGAGUACAACAGAAAUGGACCUAAAUGAAAGUCAACCUGCACUAAUUCAUCCUCCAGUUAGAAAAGUAUGAAAGUACUACAUGUGUGUAUUAGUACAAGGAUCAACAUCUGUCUGUCUAUCUGUCUGCCCAUCUGUCUGUCCACCUGUCUGUCCACCUGCCUGUACAUCUGUCUUUCUACCUGUCUGUCCAUCUGUCUGUCUACCUGUAUUUCUACCUGUCUGUCCAUCUGUCUGUCUAUCUGUCUCCAGGUGUUGACCAGUUCCUCUUCUUUCAGGGUGAAAUAUCGUUGUCUCCUCUUCUGUAAGCAUCCAUCUGUCUUCGUCCAAUCCCAGUAUCUCUGGUGGGAAUGUCCUACUGGUCUGUUGGACAACCCCAGGACUCAGACUGUCCCAGGAACAUGGAGCAGCAAAGCAGUCCUGGGGAUGAAAUGGGAGCCAAGUUAUCACUGGUGGAGGUUCCGGGACCAGUGCUGGGACCCUCCCCCACACUGCAGAACAUCCAGACGGCAUAUGAGAACGGAGAAGAGGACGCCGCCAGAGAGCUGAUCCAACAGGCCUGCUGCGUGGAAUGCAGCGCAGGGACGCCACGCAUCAAUGCGUGAGUAGGAAGGAACCAGAGCACCAGCGUCCUCUGACGGGGACCGGACACUUAUGUACAUACACUUCAACCCAUGGACAGACAGGAGGAGGAGAGAUGAGGA
rnacentral:lncRNA from 1 species